UCAGCUGGACAGCUUAGCCAGUCAGCACAUUUUUCUCUCCAGUUGCCAUACAAUGUGCUAGGCUUGGGUCGUAGUGCGAAUUUCCUCGACCAUUUGUAUGUUGGCAUUCCUCGUCCUUUAGGAGAAAAGUCCAUAAGAAGACAAGAAUGGACAGCUAUCAUACCAAACUCCCAGCUUAUAGUUAUCCCCUAUCCGCAUAAUGUUCCUCGAAGCUGGAGUGCCAAGCUGUAUCUGACCCCAAGUAACAUCGUGCUGCUAACAGCUAUAGCCUUAAUUGGUGUUUGUGUUUUCAUCCUGGCAAUAAUUGGCAUAUUACACUGGCAAGAAAAGAAAGCAGAUGACAGAGAGAAGCGACAGGAGGCUCAUCGGUUCCAUUUUGAUGCUAUGUGACAUGCCUUAAUGUUUAUGAAGGAGCUGCUACUCAUUUGCUUAAUGGAAAUACUAAAUUCUGAUUUGUAAAAUGAUUACCGUGAAAAUAUUGCUGGUGUGUUAUUUGUAAAUGUUGCAUUAUUUGGUAUUUAUUUGGAAAGUAUUAAAAUUAGACCUGAAUGUCUCACAAGGCCUUUUAGUUACCGGACUGUAUAUAAUAGCAUUUGGUCUUUAUUUAACAGAACUGUAAAUUUAUUUUUCUUAGUAAAGGGAUCAUAUUGCAUGUACUGUUGUUUACAUACCACCAAUUCUUUAGUAAUGUUUGAUAGAAAGAAAGCUGUGUAAAUAAAAUUUAGUAUUUCAGCAAGCAGUAUACUUUGUACCACGUGAAUUGGUCUUGUCAUUUAUACAUUCCUGCAAAAUAAUCCGCAUUUCUGAAAAUUAAGCUUGAGCAAUUUCUCAGAUUACUUCAUCAUUAUUUAUUUUGAUUGUACUAAAUGGCGCUCA